CGGGGCGUAGCGCAGCUUGGUAGCGCGUCUGGUUUGGGACCAGAAAGUCGCAGGUUCGAAUCCUGUCGCCCCGACCA
rnacentral:tRNA from 1 species